rnacentral:misc_RNA from 1 species
GAGUUUAACAAUAAUAGAGAAUAAUCAGUGAGUUUAACAAUAAUAGAGAAUAAUCAGUAAUUCAUUCAUCUAAGUGAAAGUACAUCCAAUAACAACAAUGAAGAGAUUACAACAGAACUGAGUGACUACAUUUUACCCAGUAAUCAUGGUUCCAAUGCCUUCCUCUGACAUAAUUUCGUGAAGCAAAGAGUGCUGAACCCUUCCAUCAAUGAUACUGGCAGUUCUCACACCUUGAGCAAGUGACCGUACACAACAAUUGACCUUAGGAAUCAUUCCACCAGCAACCUUCUUUUCUGCUAUCAUCCUCUUCACUCCCUUUAUAUCAAUCUCCUUCACCAAACUCUUUGGGUCAUCUCGAUUUUCCAGUAUGCCCGCCACAUCCGUCAACAGAAUAAGCUUCUCAGCCCCCAAAGCCGCCGCCAAUUCCCCAGCCACCGUGUCGGCAUUGAUAUUGUAUGAUUGGCCAGACUCAUCAGCCGCCACAGAGGCAAUCACAGGGAUGUGACCAUUAUCGACGAGGGGCUGGAGUAUGGUGGAAUCAACACGGGUGACUUCCCCGACAAAAC